rnacentral:rRNA from 1 species
AUGAACGCUGGCGGCGUGCCUAAUACAUGCAAGUCGAACGAGUUCUGAUUAUUGAAGGGUGCUUGCAUCUUGAUUUAAUUUUGAACGAGUGGCGGACGGGUGAGUAACACGUGGGUAACCUGCCCUUAAGUGGGGGAUAACAUUUGGAAACAGAUGCUAAUACCGCAUAAAUCCAAGAACCGCAUGGUUCUUGGCUGAAAGAUGGCGUAAGCUAUCGCUUUUGGAUGGACCCGCGGCGUAUUAGCUAGUUGGUGAGGUAACGGCUCACCAAGGCAAUGAUACGUAGCCGAACUGAGAGGUUGAUCGGCCACAUUGGGACUGAGACACGGCCCAAACUCCUACGGGAGGCAGCAGUAGGGAAUCUUCCACAAUGGACGCAAGUCUGAUGGAGCAACGCCGCGUGAGUGAAGAAGGCUUUCGGGUCGUAAAACUCUGUUGUUGGAGAAGAAUGGUCGGCAGAGUAACUGUUGUCGGCGUGACGGUAUCCAACCAGAAAGCCACGGCUAACUACGUGCCAGCAGCCGCGGUAAUACGUAGGUGGCAAGCGUUAUCCGGAUUUAUUGGGCGUAAAGCGAGCGCAGGCGGUUUUUUAAGUCUGAUGUGAAAGCCCUCGGCUUAACCGAGGAAGUGCAUCGGAAACUGGGAAACUUGAGUGCAGAAGAGGACAGUGGAACUCCAUGUGUAGCGGUGAAAUGCGUAGAUAUAUGGAAGAACACCAGUGGCGAAGGCGGCUGUCUGGUCUGUAACUGACGCUGAGGCUCGAAAGCAUGGGUAGCGAACAGGAUUAGAUACCCUGGUAGUCCAUGCCGUAAACGAUGAAUGCUAGGUGUUGGAGGGUUUCCGCCCUUCAGUGCCGCAGCUAACGCAUUAAGCAUUCCGCCUGGGGAGUACGACCGCAAGGUUGAAACUCAAAGGAAUUGACGGGGGCCCGCACAAGCGGUGGAGCAUGUGGUUUAAUUCGAAGCAACGCGAAGAACCUUACCAGGUCUUGACAUCUUUUGAUCACCUGAGAGAUCAGGUUUCCCCUUCGGGGGCAAAAUGACAGGUGGUGCAUGGUUGUCGUCAGCUCGUGUCGUGAGAUGUUGGGUUAAGUCCCGCAACGAGCGCAACCCUUAUGACUAGUUGCCAGCAUUUAGUUGGGCACUCUGGUAAGACUGCCGGUGACAAACCGGAGGAAGGUGGGGAUGACGUCAAAUCAUCAUGCCCCUUAUGACCUGGGCUACACACGUGCUACAAUGGAUGGUACAACGAGUUGCGAGACCGCGAGGUCAAGCUAAUCUCUUAAAGCCAUUCUCAGUUCGGACUGUAGGCUGCAACUCGCCUACACGAAGUCGGAAUCGCUAGUAAUCGCGGAUCAGCACGCCGCGGUGAAUACGUUCCCGGGCCUUGUACACACCGCCCGUCACACCAUGAGAGUUUGUAACACCCGAAGCCGGUGGCGUAACCCUUUUAGGGAGCGAGCCGUCUAAGGUGGGACAAAUGAUUAGGGUG